rnacentral:lncRNA from 1 species
ACCCCACAUUCUCCAGUCUUAGGUCUUCAAGGAUGAACAGACAUUGCAGAAAGGCACGGUUGGGAACAGAAAAAAAUGAUCUCCACUCCCCCAGCCCCCUCCACACCUUGGGCACAUUUCCCUGGAGCCGCCCGAGUGUUCUUUGUCAGUGUAGGAAGAAGCAAAAAUCUAAAUGGAGUCAGGAUGGCCUCCCACAUGGGCACAAGGACAAGGCUGGGGACAGUUGGGUCUCCUCAUCUUAUUUCCCAGGUCUAGGCUGAUUUCUAUUAAUAAUUAAAUUAAUCGUUGUUCUCCUGGACCUCACUUCUUAAUGUGAUUCCAGGAAACUGGCCACAUUCCAAAAUUCAUAAUCUAAGGUAGUGAAAUAACGUGAGCAUCAAGACAGUUUGGCUGGGCUCAGAGGCUCACAUCUGUAAUCCCAGUACUUUGGGAGGCCGAGGGUAGAUCCCUUGAGCCCAGGAGUUCGAGACCAGCCUGGGCAACAUGGCGAAAUCCCAUCUCUACAAAAAAUACAAAAAUUAGCCAGAUGUGGUGGCAUGUGCCUGUAGUCCCAGUUACUUGGGAGACUGCGGUGGAAGGAUUGCCUGAGCCCAGGAAAGGGAGGUUGCGGUGAAUGGGGAUCCCACCACUGCACUCCAGCCUGGGUGACAGCGUAAGACUCUGUCUCAAAAACAAAAGAUUCAUUUCUUAUUGAUAAAGCAAGCUCCUUGGAGAAAGAUCUUGGAACCUCAUUGGGAGUGGAGGUGGGGCUUCUUCAAUCCAGCCGAGCUGGCUGUGAAACCCCCAGGGUUUGGUACCAAGUGAGCUCCAGUCCCAGCUGUGGCUGACUGUGUGAACUUGGCUAUGCAUUCAAGGGCCUCUGAGCCUCAGUUUCCUCAUCUGUAGAAGAGAGCCAGGAACCCGUCAUCCUGGCUAGCAGUGGAAGUCAAAGGUGCUCAUGGAAAGAAUGUCCUUGCUGGCUGGAACAAGGGAGGCCUGAGCUGUGGAAGUCCUUGGAUCAAGGUCCUCCCCACUUCCCGCUGCCUUUUUGGUCCUUCUUGCGUGCUCUUUGUGAUUUAAUGGCUUAGUAGGUUGAAUCAUGUCCCCCCAAAGUUUAUCUCUACCCCAAAUCUCAGAAUGUGACCUUAUUUGGAAAAAGAGUCUUUGCAGAUAAUUAAGGUAAGAGUCAAGAUAAAAUCACACUGAAUUAUGGUGAGCCCUACAUGCAAUGAGACAGUCCUUACAAGAUACAGAAAAGAACACAUAGAGACUUCGGGGGAAAGGAGACUAUGUGCAAGGAUGGCAGAGAUUGGAGCCGAGGGGUGCCUGGGCCUACCAGAGGCUGCAAGAGACAGGGAGGACCCUCCCCUAGAGCCUCCAGGGGGAACAGCCCUGCCCACACCUUGACUUUGGACUCCUGGCCUCCAGAACUGUGAGAGGAAGUCGGCGUGGCUCAGCUCAGUCCAGUUCACAACAAAUAUGAAAUCCCUGCCCUACAGGACCAGGCCUCAGGAAGGGCUUGGGGGCCUCAGAGGCAAAUGAGACCAGGUCCAUCAACCAUACAGAACUGACAACCUGGACUCCCCACUCUGAAGGCACCUACUGUCUCACCCUUCCCUGACUCUGCCCGUGCACAAGGUGACCCCGGCUGCAAGCGUGCCAGGAGCUUUUCUCCACCUCUGCCUCAACAUCUGCCGCCUCUCCUCCUCUGGAGAGGGAGGCAGCUGAAGGACACCAGCCCCACGCCUUGCUGGAGCAGCUGAGAUCGCUGGGAGGAGACCUAGGACCCUACGAGAGGAGGGAUCUGGAGGCCAGGACAGGAGCAGGACAACACAAACAGAGGCCUCAGAAGAAGACUCAGAGUGGGACAGGGGUUCCUUAAGUGACGGGGGCUGGAAGUGCACAGAGAAGCCUGGUGCAGCAGGGAAUUUUCUCUCCCUGGGGUGCUG